CCCCUGCGUUCGCCACCCGCUGCCCUGCGGCUAGCGUGCCUGCUCCGCUGCCCCUGCGAGGCUCCGGAAAGCGCCCGGCGGGCACUGGGUGGUCUCCGCGUCCUCGGAUCUUCCCUGUCAGCUCUUCUGUCGAUAUGACCUUGGGUCACCCUUAACUAAGCUGGGGCGCGCAGCCUAGACACUCGAAGAGGAAGAACCUUGGGUCCCGGCAUGACCCGCUCUGGGUCCAGGCAUCUAUCUGGAGGAAACAAGCGCCGAGGAGGGCAAGGAUGAACGCGUUCCCAGGCGCACCGCCUCGCUUCAGAACUGGGUCACGGAGGGGCCAACUCGUGACAUCUGUAAAGAGGCAAGUCCAGGCCAAACCCUCAAACGAUGCCUACUGACAAGCACUGUUAUCACCACCCACAGACUGGUCUGUCAUAUAAACAGGAGCAUAAAUGAUGACUUUGGUUCCUGUUCAUUAAAAGCAUUUUGAGAGUUCUGUUUAAAAUUUUAAGAGCUUGGAAUCACUAUUUUGAUGGGAACAUAGGUAAAAGACAGGAACCUUUUUCUUUAUGUAUGUGACAACCUGAAUGGAUAGAUACGGGUGAUAUUAGGCAGAAGUUCCCACCUAUAAGGGCCAAAUUAAAUCCAGAAUAAAAUCGAAGAAUGUUUGAAAAUCUACUCAAUCCGUGCUAAGUAUUGACGAUGCAAUGAUGAACUGGACAGUGUCUUUUUCACGAAAAGUUUACAAUUUAGCAAGGAAAGAAGACAGGAAGAGAAGAUGACCACGGAGAGAACAAGAGCCUAGUUUGGGCAUAUUUCAAGAAGAGUGAAUGCAAUCAGUAGUCUGGUUUGACAAGGAAAUAGUGCUUCUGUAGAAGGGUGUGGUGAGAGAUAAACCCAAAGGUUGUAAUUAAAGACAUUGUGAAAGGCCUUAUGUACUCAGCUGGUUUUAAACAUAAUUGGACAGAUGAAGAGCCUUUGUAAAUAUGAAUUUGUGGUGCUAGAGCACAAAUACACACAGGAAAAAAUGAUUACCUGACAAUAUACACAAAAAUAAACUCCAGACGAGUAAAGAUGUAAAUGUAAAAGGCAAAAAAUAGCAUAUUUUGGUAAGAAAAUAGAGAAGUGUAUAUUCAUGACUUUGGUGGUCAGAAUUACCUUAAAUAUAAAAAACACAAACAUUAAUAGAAAAAUUGAUAGAUUUAAUGAUAUAAUUUUAAAACUAUAAGCAAAUUAAUGUUAAGGUACAAACUUGGAAAAUAUGUUUACGUUAAAUAGAAUUUCAAAAGUGUUCACUUCUAGAAUAUACAAAGAACUAAAAUCAAUAAGGAAAAAUAAGAACUCAAUAGAAAAAUGAGAAAAGAAUGUUAAAAGACAAACCAAACCUUCACUAGCCAUCAGGGAAAUUUACAUUAAAACAAGAUAAAUAUAUCACAUCCAUCAGACUGACAAAAAUGUAAACCUUGAUAAUAACAAGUCAAGGGUAUAGAAAAAUGAAAUUCUCAAUACUGCUGAAAGAAUUGUAAAUUACUAAAACCAAUUUUGUGAGCAAUUAGGCAAUAUCUGAUAAAGGCAAAGAUGCAAAUAUUCUGUAACCCAGCACUUUUUGGAUAUAAGUAUAUUCCCUGGAAAUAUGCUUGCAUUCGUGAACAAAGAAAUAUAUACAAUUAUGUUCUUUGCAGCAUUUUUUGUAAUAAUGAAAUAUUAAAUGCACUGUAAAUGACCAUCAAUAAGAGAAUGAACAAAUAAACUAUAAUUAAUAGACUUAGCAUGAAAAUGAAU